AUGAAGUGAUUACCCAUCAUGCCUAGAGUCCACAGAACAAGCCUGUGGGGGCAGUGUUGUGAUCAGAGGUUGAUUCAGUUGAUCAGGUCCAGGUUCAGCCAAAAACAUGGAAGGCAAUG